rnacentral:rRNA from 1 species
CCAAGGCGUGGAUAACUGCGAGUCGAGCGCCUUCAGGCCAUGGUGAAGGCGCGGCGAACGGCUCAGUAACACGUGGCUAACCUACCCUUUGGACGGGGACAACCACGGGAAACUGUGGCUAAUCCCCGAUAGGUGAGAAGGCCUGGAAUGGUUUCUCAUCUAAAAGGCGUUUAGACCAUGCUUCUAGGCGUCGCCAAAGGAUGGGGCCGCGGCCGAUCAGGUUGUUGGCGAGGUAACGGCUCACCAAGCCUAUAACCGGUACGGGCCGUGAGAGCGGGAGCCCGGAGAUGGGCACUGAGACAAGGGCCCAGGCCCUACGGGGCGCAGCAGUUGCGAAAACUUCGCAAUAAGCGAAAGCUUGACGGGGCCAUCCCGAGUGCCAUCUGCUGAGGAUGGCUUUUACCCAGUAUAGAUAGCUGGGGGAAUAAGGAGAGGGCAAGUCUGGUGUCAGCCGCCGCGGUAAUACCAGCUCUCCGAGUUGUGGGGACGUUUAUUGAGCCUGAAGCAUCCGUAGCCGGCUGUGCAAGUCCUCUGUUAAAUCCAGCGAUAAAUCGUUGGCCUGCGGGGGAUACUGCUCGGCUAGGGGGCGGGAGAGGCCGUCGGUAUUCUUGGGGUAGGGGUGAAAUCCUAUAAUCCCAGGAGGACCACCAGUGGCGAAGGCUGUCGGCUAGAACGCGCUCGACGGUGAGGGAUGAAAGCUGGGGGAGCGAACCGGAUUAGAUACCCGGGUAGUCCCAGCUGUAAACGAUGCAGGCUAGGUGUUAGGGCGGCUACGUGCCGCUCUAGUGCCGCAGGGAAGCUGUUAAGCCUGCCGCUUGGGGAGUACGGCCGCAAGGCUGAAACUUAAAGGAAUUGGCGGGGGAGCACCACAAGGGGUGAAGCUUGCGGUUCAAUUGGAUUCAACGCCGGG